AUGGGUCGGCAGAGGUAUGACUCCCAGUGGAAGGAGGUGAGGAUCAUCAAUGGCUACGCCGUGCUCGUCGAGUACGUCUUUGAUGCCAUCAGAGGGGUCGGCUGCCUGGUGGUCAUGUGGGCCACGGUAGUGCUCCUCGGCGGCUUCAUCUCCAUGAUCGACAAGGUGGAUUUCAGAUGCCUCACGCUGAUCACCCUCAUAGGAGAAUGUCAAAGUGUGGGAGGAUAG
rnacentral:rRNA from 1 species